AGUGAACGCUGGCGGUAGGCCUAACACAUGCAAGUCGAACGGCAGCACAGUAAGAGCUUGCUCUUACGGGUGGCGAGUGGCGGACGGGUGAGGAAUACAUCGGAAUCUACUUUUUCGUGGGGGAUAACGUAGGGAAACGUACGCUAAUACCGCAUACGACCUACGGGUGAAAGCAGGGGAGCUUCGGACCUUGCGCGAUUGAAUGAGCCGAUGUCGGAUUAGCUAGUUGGCGGGGUAAAGGCCCACCAAGGCGACGAUCCGUAGCUGGUCUGAGAGGAUGAUCAGCCACACUGGAACUGAGACACGGUCCAGACUCCUACGGGAGGCCGCAGUGGGGAAUAUUGGACAAUGGGCGCAAGCCUGAUCCAGCCAUACCGCGUGGGUGAAGAAGGCCUUCGGGUUGUAAAGCCCUUUUGUUGGGAAAGAAAAGCAGCAGGUUAAUACCCCGCUGUUCUGACGGUACCCAAAGAAUAAGCACCGGCUAACUUCGUG
rnacentral:rRNA from 1 species